rnacentral:sRNA from 1 species
UCAGGGGCUGGAUGUCAGGUGGUGAGCAGCGGAGGGAUAUUACCGAGUUUACACUCCCAAACCCAAUGUGAACGUUACCAAACUGUUGCCUCGGCGGGAUCUCUGCCCCGGGUGCGUCGCAGCCCCGGACCAAGGCGCCCGCCGGAGGACCAACCAAAACUCUUAUUGUAUACCCCCUCGCGGGUUUUUUUAUAAUCUGAGCCUUCUCGGCGCCUCUCGUAGGCGUUUCGAAAAUGAAUCAAAACUUUCAACAACGGAUCUCUUGGUUCUGGCAUCGAUGAAGAACGCAGCGAAAUGCGAUAAGUAAUGUGAAUUGCAGAAUUCAGUGAAUCAUCGAAUCUUUGAACGCACAUUGCGCCCGCCAGUAUUCUGGCGGGCAUGCCUGUCCGAGCGUCAUUUCAACCCUCGAACCCCUCCGGGGGGUCGGCGUUGGGGAUCGGCCCUGCCUUGGCGGUGGCCGUCUCCGAAAUACAGUGGCGGUCUCGCCGCAGCCUCUCCUGCGCAGUAGUUUGCACACUCGCAUCGGGAGCGCGGCGCGUCCACAGCCGUUAAACACCCAACUUCUGAAAUGUUGACCUCGGAUCAGGUAGGAAUACCCGCUGAACUUAAGCAUAUCAAUAAGCGGAGGAAAAGAAACCAACAGGGAUUGCCCGNUUAACGGCGGAGNAAAAUAAAAAUANAUNUUUUAGAACUUUUUAAAAGAGAUUAUUGUGUAUAAUUAUAUAUUUAUAUAGAUAAUAUUUUUAAUGUGAUAAGAUAAAUACAUUUGGAGUAUUCUUUGUUUUUAUUUUAAGGAAAAAGAGAGAAAAUGGGUUUUUCGAUAUUAAGAAUNUCUGAGUGCUAAGUGAAUUACCCUUUUAAUCUAGACGAUUGGGAAAAAUACCCUAUAAUGAUUUCGAACAACCGUAUGGUGAAUUGUAACUCGUAUNAUAAAAGAAGGGC